GUUAAGCGACUAAGCGUACACGGUGGAUGCCCUGGCAGUCAGAGGCGAUGAAGGGCGUGCUAAUCUGCGAUAAGCGCCGGUAAGGUGAUAUGAACCGUUAUAACCGGCGAUACCCGAAUGGGGAAACCCAGUGUGACUCGUCACACUAUCAUUAACUGAAUCCAUAGGUUAAUGAGGCGAACCGGGGGAACUGAAACAUCUAAGUACCCCGAGGAAAAGAAAUCAACCGAGAUUCCCCCAGUAGCGGCGAGCGAACGGGGAGGAGCCCAGAGCCUGAAUCAGCAUGUGUGUUAGUGGAAGCGUCUGGAAAGGCGCGCGAUACAGGGUGACAGCCCCGUACACAAAAGCGCAUGUGCUGUGAGCUCGAUGAGUAGGGCGGGACACGUGGUAUCCUGUCUGAAUAUGGGGGGACCAUCCUCCAAGGCUAAAUACUCCUGACUGACCGAUAGUGAACCAGUACCGUGAGGGAAAGGCGAAAAGAACCCCGGCGAGGGGAGUGAAAAAGAACCUGAAACCGUGUACGUACAAGCAGUGGGAGCACCCUUUGGGGUGUGACUGCGUACCUUUUGUAUAAUGGGUCAGCGACUUAUAUUCUGUAGCAAGGUUAACCGCAUAGGGGAGCCGCAGGGAAACCGAGUCUUAACCGGGCGUUAAGUUGCAGGGUAUAGACCCGAAACCCGGUGAUCUAGCCAUGGGCAGGUUGAAGGUUGGGUAACACUAACUGGAGGACCGAACCGACUAAUGUUGAAAAAUUAGCGGAUGACCUGUGGCUGGGGGUGAAAGGCCAAUCAAACCGGGAGAUAGCUGGUUCUCCCCGAAAGCUAUUUAGGUAGCGCCUCGUGAAUUCAUCUCCGGGGGUAGAGCACUGUUUCGGCUAGGGGGCCAUCCCGGCUUACCAACCCGAUGCAAACUGCGAAUACCGGAGAAUGUUAUCACGGGAGACACACGGCGGGUGCUAACGUCCGUCGUGAAGAGGGAAACAACCCAGACCGCCAGCUAAGGUCCCAAAGUCAUGGUUAAGUGGGAAACGAUGUGGGAAGGCCCAGACAGCCAGGAUGUUGGCUUAGAAGCAGCCAUCAUUUAAAGAAAGCGUAAUAGCUCACUGGUCGAGUCGGCCUGCGCGGAAGAUGUAACGGGGCUAAACCAUGCACCGAAGCUGCGGCAGCGACGCUGAUGCGUUGUUGGGUAGGGGAGCGUUCUGUAAGCCUGUGAAGGUGGCCUGUGAGGGUUGCUGGAGGUAUCAGAAGUGCGAAUGCUGACAUAAGUAACGAUAAAGCGGGUGAAAAGCCCGCUCGCCGGAAGACCAAGGGUUCCUGUCCAACGUUAAUCGGGGCAGGGUGAGUCGACCCCUAAGGCGAGGCCGAAAGGCGUAGUCGAUGGGAAACGGGUUAAUAUUCCUGUACUUGGUGUUACUGCGAAGGGGGGACGGAGAAGGCUAUGUUGGCCGGGCGACGGUUGUCCCGGUUUAAGCGUGUAGGUGUGUGUUCCAGGUAAAUCCGGUUCACUUUAACACUGAGGCGUGAUGACGAGGCACUACGGUGCUGAAGCAACAAAUGCCCUGCUUCCAGGAAAAGCCUCUAAGCAUCAGGUAACAUCAAAUCGUACCCCAAACCGACACAGGUGGUCAGGUAGAGAAUACCAAGGCGCUUGAGAGAACUCGGGUGAAGGAACUAGGCAAAAUGGUGCCGUAACUUCGGGAGAAGGCACGCUGACAUGUAGGUGAAGUGAUUUACUCACGGAGCUGAAGUCAGUCGAAGAUACCAGCUGGCUGCAACUGUUUAUUAAAAACACAGCACUGUGCAAACACGAAAGUGGACGUAUACGGUGUGACGCCUGCCCGGUGCCGGAAGGUUAAUUGAUGGGGUCAGCGCAAGCGAAGCUCCUGAUCGAAGCCCCGGUAAACGGCGGCCGUAACUAUAACGGUCCUAAGGUAGCGAAAUUCCUUGUCGGGUAAGUUCCGACCUGCACGAAUGGCGUAAUGAUGGCCAGGCUGUCUCCACCCGAGACUCAGUGAAAUUGAACUCGCUGUGAAGAUGCAGUGUACCCGCGGCAAGACGGAAAGACCCCGUGAACCUUUACUAUAGCUUGACACUGAACAUUGAGCCUUGAUGUGUAGGAUAGGUGGGAGGCUUUGAAGUGUGGACGCCAGUCUGCAUGGAGCCGACCUUGAAAUACCACCCUUUAAUGUUUGAUGUUCUAACGUGGACCCGUAAUCCGGGUUGCGGACAGUGUCUGGUGGGUAGUUUGACUGGGGCGGUCUCCUCCUAAAGAGUAACGGAGGAGCACGAAGGUUGGCUAAUCCUGGUCGGACAUCAGGAGGUUAGUGCAAUGGCAUAAGCCAGCUUGACUGCGAGCGUGACGGCGCGAGCAGGUGCGAAAGCAGGUCAUAGUGAUCCGGUGGUUCUGAAUGGAAGGGCCAUCGCUCAACGGAUAAAAGGUACUCCGGGGAUAACAGGCUGAUACCGCCCAAGAGUUCAUAUCGACGGCGGUGUUUGGCACCUCGAUGUCGGCUCAUCACAUCCUGGGGCUGAAGUAGGUCCCAAGGGUAUGGCUGUUCGCCAUUUAAAGUGGUACGCGAGCUGGGUUUAGAACGUCGUGAGACAGUUCGGUCCCUAUCUGCCGUGGGCGCUGGAGAACUGAGGGGGGCUGCUCCUAGUACGAGAGGACCGGAGUGGACGCAUCACUGGUGUUCGGGUUGUCAUGCCAAUGGCACUGCCCGGUAGCUAAAUGCGGAAGAGAUAAGUGCUGAAAGCAUCUAAGCACGAAACUUGCCCCGAGAUGAGUUCUCCCUGAGACUUAAAGUCUCCUGAAGGAACGUUGAAGACGACGACGUUGAUAGGCCGGGUGUGUAAGCGCAGCGAUGCGUUGAGCUAACCGGUACUAAUGAACCGUGAGGCUUAACCUUACAACGCCGAA
rnacentral:rRNA from 1 species